rnacentral:rRNA from 1 species
UACGUAGGUGGCAAGCGUUGUCCGGAAUUAUUGGGCGUAAAGCGCGCGCAGGCGGCCUCUUAAGUCUGAUGUGAAAUCUUGCGGCUCAACCGCAAGCGGCCAUUGGAAACUGGGGGGCUUGAGUACAGAAGAGGAGAGUGGAAUUCCACGUGUAGCGGUGAAAUGCGUAGAUAUGUAGAGGAACACCAGUGGCGAAGGCGACUCUCUGGUCUGUAACUGACGCUGAGGCGCGAAAGCGUGGGGAGCAAACAGG